rnacentral:rRNA from 1 species
UGAGGAACAUGACCUUCGGCGGGGGAGUAGCCGGCCCAAUGGCCGGGUAAUACCGCGUACGACCACUCGGGGGCAUCCCUAGGUGGUGAAAGCAGCAAUGCGCCGAUGGAGUGCCUCGCGGCCUAUCAGCUAGUUGGUGAGGUAACGGCUCACCAAGGCGACGACGGGUAGCUGGUCUGAGAGGAUGGCCAGCCACAUUGGGACUGAGACACGGCCCAGACUCCGUAGGGACGG